AGUGAACGCUGGCGGUAGGCCUAACACAUGCAAGUCGAACGGCAGCACAGUAAGAGCUUGCUCUUACGGGUGGCGAGUGGCGGACGGGUGAGGAAAACAUCGGAAUCUACAUUUUCGUGGGGGUUAACGUAGGGAAACUUACGCCAAUACAGCAUACGACCUACGGGUGAAAGCAGGGGAUAUUCGGACCUUGCGCGGAUGAAUGAGCCGAUGUCGGAUUAGAUAGUUGGCGGGGUAAAGGCCAACCAAGGCGGCGAUCCGUAGCUGGUCUGAGAGGAUGGUCGGCGACACUGGAACUGAGCCACGAUCCAUACUCCUACGGGAGGCAGCAGUGGGGAAUGUGGGACAAUAGGCGCAAACCUAGUCCAACCAUGCCACGUGUGUGAAGAAGGCGUUCGGUUUGUGAAGCCCUUUUGUUGGGAAAGAAAAGCAGCAGGUUAAUACCCCGCUGUACUGACGGUACCCGAAGAAUAAGCACCGGCUAACUACGUG
rnacentral:rRNA from 1 species